rnacentral:rRNA from 1 species
GAUGAACGCUGGCGGCGUGCCUAAUACAUGCAAGUCGAGCGAACGGACGAGAAGCUUGCUUCUCUGAUGGUAGCGGCGGACGGGUGAGUAACACGUGGAUAACCUACCUAUAAGACUGGGAGAACUUCGGGAAACCGGAGCUAAUACCGGAGAAUAUUUUGAACCGCAUGGUUCAAAAGUGAAAGACGGUCUUGCUGUCACUUAUAGAUGGAGCCGCGCUGCAUUAGCUAGUUGGUAAGGUAACGGCUAACCAAGGCAACGAUGCAUAGCUGACCUGAGAGGGUGAUCGGCCACACUGGAACUGAGACACGGUCCAGACUCCUACGGGAGGCAGCAGUAGGGAAUCUUCCGCAAUGGGCGCAAGCCUGACGGAGCAACGCCGCGUGAGUGAUGAAGGUCUUCGGAUCGUAAAACUCUGUUAUUAGGGAAGAACAUCUGUGUAAGUAACUGUGCACAUCUUGACGGUACCUAAUCAGAAAGCCACGGCUAACUACGUG